GUUUACAUCUGUUCCAUUUGUUUGCGUUUUGCAUUUGGAACUCUAAUGUUCCUUAUUAUCAGCCGGGACAUAGGCGGGUAAUUUAUAAGUUCGAUUCUACUACUUCCAAAUGUAACAAUAGAAAAUGCAACGAAAAGCUGAGGGAAUACUGAAGCAGGACUCAGUCAAUGAAUCCUUGGCUGUGAACCACAACGAUAACCGAAAGAAAUAUACUUGCGAUUCCUGUGACUUAACAGUCUUUUCGCGAUCAGGCAUCCGCAGACACUUUCGGCACAAGCAUUUGGGUUUAAAGACACCAUCUGGUGCACAGGAUAAAACCGAAGUUUGCACCAUUUGCGCUGCGUAUGUGACAAAAAGGAACUUCAAAGACCAUGUCAAUUCUCACUCUACAGCCAGGAAUUUUUCAUGUGAUUUAUGUGGCAAAGCUGUAAAAUCUAUCUUCACGUUACGCAAACACAUCAAAAGAGUUCAUAUGAUAGUCAAGUCAUCGACACAACCAGCAAAUAUGAAAACUAAUUGUGAAAUUUGUGACAAACAAUUUUCCAGUCCAGCAACACUUCAACGGCACAAACUGAGAUAUCACAGCGACAGCGGAAACAUUGCAUGUGAAGUGUGUGACAUGAUAUCGCCAAUUGAUGACCAUAAUCGCCACAUGAAAAUCCAUUUAGAUAAUAAAUUUCAAUGUGAUUUCUGUGACGUUCGAUUUGCCAGCAAUGAGAGUUUAAAGGUCCAUCUCAUCAGACAUAGGUCGGAGUGGUCAUAUGAAUGUGGAUUGUGUUUGAAAGUAUUUAAACAUUCAUCGUCUGUAUCAAGUCAUCGGAAAUCGCACAAGAUCAGCGGAUACUAUCAUUGUGGUUGUUGUGACAAUCGUUUCAAAGAUUAUGGUCAAUUAAAAGUGCAUUUUACUAAUUUAAGUCACAGCUUUCAUUCUAAAAAAAGAGACUAAUUAAACUGUUGAUGAG